ensembl:lncRNA novel transcript
UCGGGGAGAUGGGGAGGAAGAAGGAGAAGUGCCCAACAUUUUUUGCCUUCUCUUCAUUUGUUGACGCACAUGCCGACUGGCAGGAAAGAAAGGAUCAUAGUUUCAAACAUCACAGACAGUGCAUGAAGCUGGACACAGGAAAACCCUGCAACCUUGCAUUCAUUUAAAUUCAUCUGUUGUACAAUUACCUAAAAACAUCAGGAGGCCUUAUGCUGCAACAAAUACUAUAACAAAAAUAAAGUUUUGUUUUCACUGA